UACGAAGGGGGCUAGCGUUGCUCGGAAUCACUGGGCGUAAAGCGCACGUAGGCGGGUCCUUAAGUCAGGGGUGAAAUCCUGGAGCUCAACUCCAGAACUGCCUUUGAUACUGAGGAUCUCGAGUUCGGGAGAGGUGAGUGGAACUGCGAGUGUAGAGGUGAAAUUCGUAGAUAUUCGCAAGAACACCAGUGGCGAAGGCGGCUCACUGGCCCGAUACUGACGCUGAGGCACGAAAGCGUGGGGAGCAAACAGG
rnacentral:rRNA from 1 species